GGCCGCCUGGCGAAAUGGCAUCGCGUCUGACUACGAUGGCGCGUUUUUUAAAGUGUAAUCAGGAGAUUGCAGGUUCGACCCCUGCGGUGGUCA
rnacentral:tRNA from 1 species